AGUGAACGCUGGCGGCGUGCCUAAUACAUGCAAGUCGAACGCAGUGGGCACGGUUUCGUAAUAUAUAGUUAAUCUCCCUACACAGAGGACAACAUUUGGAAACGACUGCUCACCCUAUAGUGUAGGAUGAGACUAUAUCGUAUCAGCUAGUUGGUAAGGUACUGGCUUACCAAGGCUAUGACGCGUAACUUGUCUGAGAGGAUGAUCAGUCACACUGGGACUGAGACACGGCCCAGACUCCUACGGGAGGCAGCAGUAGGGAAUCUGCGGCAAUGGACGAAAGUCUGACCGAGCAACGCCGCGUGAGUGAAGAAGGUUUUCGGAUCGUAAAACUCUGUUGUUAGAGAAGCGGUAGCUAACCAGAAAGCCACGGCUAACUACGUGCCAGCAGCCGCGGUAAUAC
rnacentral:rRNA from 1 species